GACGAACGCUGGCGGCGUGCCUAAUACAUGCAAGUAGAACGCUGAAGAGAGGAGCUUGCUCUUCUUGGAUGAGUUGCGAACGGGUGAGUAACGCGUAGGUAACCUGCCUUGUAGCGGGGGAUAACUAUUGGAAACGAUAGCUAAUACCGCAUAACAAUGGAUGACACAUGUCAUUUAUUUGAAAGGGGCAAUUGCUCCACUACAAGAUGGACCUGCGUUGUAUUAGCUAGUAGGUGAGGUAAUGGCUCACCUAGGCGACGAUAGAUAACCGGCCUGAGAGGGGGAUUCGCCCAACUGGGACUGGGACACGGCCCCGGAUCCUACGGGAGGGAGCAGGAGGGGAUUUUUGGGAAUGGGGGCAACGCUGAACGAGGAACGCCGGGGGAGUGAAGAAGGGUCUCGGGUCGUAAAAAUCCGUUGUAAGUCAAGGAAGGGUGUGAGAGUGGAAAGUGCACACUGUGACGGUAGCUUACCAGAAAGGGACGGCUAACUACGUG
rnacentral:rRNA from 1 species